UACGGGGGGAGCAAGCGUUGUUCGGAUUUACUGGGCGUAAAGGGCGCGUAGGCGGCCACCGCAAGUCGGUUGUGAAAUCUCUGGGCUUAACCCAGAAAGGUCAACCGAUACUGCGGGGCUAGAGUGCAGAAGGGGCAACUGGAAUUCUCGGUGUAGCGGUGAAAUGCGCAGAUAUCAGGAGGAACACCUAUUGCGAAGGCAGCUCGCUGGGACGUAACUGACGCUGAGACGCGAAAGCGUGGGGAGCAAACAGG
rnacentral:rRNA from 1 species